UCUGUCCCUCAGCAAGCAGUAAAUUCAGCUUCCUGUGACUGAGGCAAGUGGGAGGCUCCGCCUCUGCUGGAGAGAGGACGGCUGACCCCCUACGUGAACAAGCAGGGGCUCUCGCACAACGCCGUGCCAUGAAAGAAGACAAGGAGGCUAAGGAUGCCGCGCAUGCAGAUGCAUGCGACAGGUGAAGCUUGCCUCUUUGGCAGUGUUUCGGGCUGGCGGAGCUGACCUGGAUGGCCCGCGGGUUGCUGACUGUGCAAGCCUUUCCAACUUCAGCUCCAACUGGAAAACACGGGAACAGCACCUGCCCCACUGCCACCAGGGAGCUGCUGAGAUGAGGAGAAAGCUUAGUAAACUGAAAACACCCAAAAUGUUCUUCCAGAGGCCUUCGGCAAAGCCUACAAUGGACAGCCCAGUGGCCAGGACAGAUCCGCACCUGAGUGCUUGUGGCCCAGAGCGGCACGACGCAGACACACAGUGUCCUCCAAAGACUUUCAAUUGAGAGACAACCAAGAGCAGACCAUGUCAGUGCUGGUCACGGAACUCUUGAAGCUUCUAACGGAAAGGGACUCUGUAUUCCUUUAGCAGCUUCACAAAUAGAAACUUGAUAAGAAAAUCAAACAGGAACACUGGAAACGAAGUCCCCUGAAUUGGUCAGGUCCACAACCCAUCACCUAUUUUGUGACUGCAAGCACACUUCUACAACUCCCUCCUUUGUACUGAGGCGGGGGGCUGGGGGGGGGCAUUUGUUUUUAGAUGGAAUAGCUCUAGUAAGGCUCUGCAUUAACAGCAAAUCAUGACCUUAAUGAAGUUGCGUGUAGUGUUUUCCUUGCAAUCCAUAUAGUUUAAAAAAUCAAUCUCAAGCCUCCUUUUCCCGUUUCAGCUUGAGGGCAUGUUUCUGAUCUCUUCUCUUUUUCCACAAGGUUAUGGGCUCUCUCUGGCUGGCCUCUCAAACGACAAUCCAUGCUUCUAAGAUCCACCCAACAAAGUCUUGAAAUGUUGACUCCAAUGAAGUUAAAGGAGAUCAAGUUAUUGAAAUAAAAUAAGUUCUGCUGAGGAUCAAAAUCCCCAGAACCAAGGGAAACCCCAAGAUGGAGUUGCCCCUGCCAAAGACCAAGAGAAGGAAGUCGGGAGAGCCAGCCCAGGAGAAGAGCCGGACGACGGGCAUGAGGCUCUGACACCGGCCUCACCUAGUGCGUUAAGGCAUCAGAGCACAUCUUGGAUCUUGGCAGGAUCUCCCACCUUGCCCUCUAAUUUGGUUCUAAAUCCCUGACUUCUUUCCCUUUUCCCAGUUGGGGGGGGGGGA